GAUAAACGCUGGCGGCGUGCAUGAGACAUGCAAGUCGAACGGGUGACUUGGGGCUUGCUCCAAGUCGCUAGUGGCGGACGGCUGAGUAACGCGUAGGUGACCUACCCCGAAGUGGGGAAUAACUGCCCGAAAGGGUGGCUAAUACCGCAUGUGAUCGGUCUUUCAUUUGAUCGAUCAAAGCAGCAAUGCGCUUUGGGAGGGGCCUGCGUCCGAUUAGCUCGUUGGUGGGGUAAUGGCUCACCAAGGCGACGAUCGGUAGGUGGUCUGAGAGGACGAUCACCCAGACUGGGACUGAGACACGGCCCAGACUCCUACGGGAGGCAGCAGUCGGGAAUUUUGCUCAAUGGGGGAAACCCUGAAGCAGCAACGCCGCGUGAGGGAUGAAGGCCUUCGGGUUGUAAACCUCUUUUCUCAGGGACGAUUAUGACGGUACCUGAGGAAUAAGCCACGGCUAACUACGUGCCAGCAGCCGCGGUAACAC
rnacentral:rRNA from 1 species